UUUAUCUCAGAAAACAGUGUUUAUAUUUGGCUUGCGAUUAUAGAAAUACUUAAUUUUCUAACAAGGCAGGAGAAACGAUGGAUGUGCUCGGCUUGACAAAUUAUGCCACGACUUUGGCACUCGUAGCUGUGCUUAUUUUUACUUUUUACCUGUGAGUAUUGCAUUUACUUUCAAACUAAAAGAGAAUGACACCACAGACACGACAGAAUAUAUAUAUACAUGUAUGCAUGUAUACAUGUAAUUACUUUGGGACUAAUGUGUAUGUCUAUUAAUGUGUUGAUAUGUGGAGCAAAGCACGAGCAGAGUUUGGGCCACCUGGUUGUCAUCCGCUAAUGAAGCGGGUAAAUACCAAUAUGACUGCCUAAACUCAAUAUCUUUAGCGAGACACCAUGUAUCUGACGUGACCCUCACUGCAGAAAUUGACGCACGCAAUAGGAUGCAAAACAUUCCACACAAAUGGCAGCUGCAGGAUGAGUGGAAACGAUUGUGGUACGGAAUAGACUGAUACCAAAUCCAAAUUGUUUUCUUAAUUGAUUAUAUAUAUAUAUAUAUAUAUAUAUAUAUAUAUAUAUAUAUAUAUAUAUAUAUAUAUAUAUAUAUAUACAUAUAUAUAUACACACAUAUAAAGUACCAGUUUCGCACUGGGGUCGAUGUAAUCGACUUAAUCCCUUUGUCUGUCCUUGUUUGUCCCUUCUAUGUUUAGCCCCUUGUGGGCAAUAAAGAAAUAUAUAUAUAUAUGUGUGUGUGUGUGUUUAUGUAUGUAUAUAUAUAUAUAUAUAUAUAUAUACAUAUAUGUGUGUGUAUUUUUGUAUGUGUGUGUGUGUGCUUGUGUGUCUUAGUAUUGUUUUACAUGUAUGUAUACUUAUAUCAAAAUAUAUAAUAUUAUUGAUUCAUUAGAAUUGAUCUUAUUGGUUUAUGAGGAGAUAUUCAAUAAUCGGAUAGGAUAUUCGAUUAUCUUAUAAUUAUGCCCGUGAGAUGUGGCAGGAAAUGCUACAUGUGUGUUUAAAGAGACAAUAUUUUUUUUACAAUUGUGCUAAAAUGUAUAACGCAUUACCAAAACUGUUGUGCUCGGUGAACGAUUCAACACUCCUCCCCUUUACUCUAAAUGGUUUGAAAAGAACGAUCAUAUCUCCAUAUAUGAUAGACCGCAUUCAAUAUUUCGAUACUAACAUACAAAGAAAGAAGAAAUUAUGUUUUCCCACUUGUUUACACAAGUUGAUUGUCAACAUAACACAAAUCAUUGACCGGUUGUGCAAUCUUGUUCAUAAUACCAAAGUAGCGUGCCAUUUAGAUAACAACAUAGCGCAGUCAUUUUGUGUUAGAGUGACGACCAGCUUAUAGCAAUUCGUUCAUAAAGUUUAAGAUUAACUCUAAAAUUUUCUGUCUUUCUGAUAUGUAUAUAUAUAUAUAUAUACAUACACAAAUAUAAUAGUGUGCAAACAAUGAAACAUUUAUACUCGAAAGAGGUGACCUUUGACAGGAGAGCUUACAUGCUAGAAAGAGCAGUCACUAUUAUAUAUGAGAAUAUGUUGUCUAUUAACUGUAUUACGCAUGCUAGCAACCAGUUUGUAAUCUUUUAAUUUUCUACCCGAUUAUUAUUAACUGCAUAUAUAUAUAUAUAUAUGUACUAAACCUUCAAGGUGGUAUCUAUAUUAUAAUUAUAUUUAUAUAUAUAUAUAUAUAUAACGUUGUUAGGUUUCGGCCAGUAUAGAUAUGUAUAAUUUUUAUUAAUAUUAUAUGUAUGUAUAUAUAUAUAUAUAUAUAUAUAUAUACAUACAUAUAUAUAUACACAUACACAAAUGUAUAUAUAUGUAUCUACAUAUAUGUAUAUAUAUGUAUAUAUAUAUGCAUGUAUAUAUAUAUAUGUAUAUAUAUAAAUAUAUGUAUAUAUAUAUAUAUACUUUCUUGGUUCGGUGCCGUCCGUGCAACAUCUAUAUUCCUUCCUGUGCUUGUGAAAUCUUGUAUCCCUGCUGUAAGGCUGUAUUUCCACACACACCAGCUUAAUUUAAUUCGUCCUUAGUCGAAAGACACCUAUUGUUAUAUCAUGUUAUCUGUUUUUGUGUAAUAUUCUCCGCUUUUCCCGUCCUUGUUUUCGUAUACAUUCGCUGCUUUCUUCCAAGGAAUCUAACGCUCUUAGCUUAGAUUUUCUUUGGGGCUGGCCAGAUGGGAGCAAUCUCGAGUAUAACUUGGUUGUAAAUUUGUGAAGUGUCUUGUUUUAACCAUCAACCCCUAAAUUUUAAGAAACCCUUGCAGAUUCCCAUACAUGUGGUCAAUAAAAACGUCAUUAUUAAUGUAUUUCAUUUAUUUUUCUUCGUUAGGUUUGGAAGAAGAAACUUUUCAUUUUUCAAAAAUCUCGGGAUCUCUGGUCCCGAACCUAUUUCUCAUUUAGGAAACAUGAUGGAAAUGAGGAAACUGGUAAAUUCAUUUUACAUUUUUUCUUGUUUAAGUUUUUCUUGCUACAGACUUGAGUGGAAUAACUCUGGCCUUUCGGCAUGAAGUCUCUCCUUAAACUCCCUUAAAACCUUCAUAACGUACUCUUUGUUGGUCAUCUGGUCAAAAAGACCCUAAUGAGUGUGAAUGAUGCCCUUGCUGUCAAAAAAGAAAUCACCAAGUGCUUCCUGGCAGACUUGAUUUACACAGACUUGCAGGGUCUGAGUGUGCCAAGAUGCUUCCACUGGGCACUCUGUAUCUUGGCCUCUGGAUCAUAACAGUAAACCCAGCUUUAGUCACAGGUCAUCCUUCUGUAUAUCACUAAGCACCCUGAGAACAAAACUUUGCACUAAUUUUGUGCAUGUUCAGAUCUUCCUGAAUAAUUCUGUGUAUAUUUGCCUCACCAAUUCCAAACUGUAUGUUUAUUGUCUUAAUAGAGAUCUGAUUGUCUUCUCUCAAAAAAUUGUGAACUUUCUCAACAAGCUCUGAUAUUGUGACAUCCUUCUCCCUCCCAUAUUCCUCAUUGUCUCUCAGUGAAAAACAGAGACUUGGCUCAUACAACUUAAUCCAUCAGGAGAUUGGGGCAAUUCAUAAGUGUACUGUUGUUCCCAAGUUUAACACAAGCCUUUAUUGCACAACAAGCUCCCAGAUCUCCUGACUGCAUUCUGAUCAGCUGUGACAUGCAGUGUUUAGUAGUUUGUAUUCAAAGUGUUGUACAAAUGUCUCCUUUAACAUAGAAUAUAAAAUAGUUGGCAGGUCAGCUUAUUAGAUAUAUAGUACUGAUAUACUAAAAUCAAAGUAAUCGAGGGCAGACAGAAUUGCCUCCCUUGAAAAAUAUCUCAAACCUUCUGGAAACGUAACCUUGUAAAGUAUUCGAGAUGUGAAUGAAAUUGUGGUAGAAUACAAGAGAAUACAAGAAAACUCUAUUUCUUAACCUCUCAGGGUCAAUAAAGUAUAUUACUAAUCCUGCAUUUAAUAGUCAUUUAGAAUGUCAUAAAUAUAAAUGAGAUUAUAAAAGAAAAAGUGAAGCAAAAUUCUCUUUAAAAAGAGAAAGGCACAUUGUACAGUGGAGUCCAAGAUACACCAUGUCUAAAAAAUAGUUUAGUAUGUUUGAUAGCACAUGAGACAAACCAGUUUUCUUUGCCAUGUCAAAAAAUAUGAAAAGUCAUACUUGAUUAUAUAAUAGUAAAGUUUCGUUUAUACUUUUAUACUUUCAGGGUUUCACUAAAG
rnacentral:lncRNA from 1 species